AAUGUCAUGGGGUUAGUGCACGCUCUGAAAGUGCGCAUUCCCCCACGAUGUCAACUUUCAUAGGCUUUCCAGCGUCAAGAAAGAUGAGUUUGAAGGGGAUCUACGCUGCAGAUUAUGGACACUGAAGACCAUAAGCAGAUCUGGAAGUCCCUAUGAUGAAGUGAGGAGCUGAUUCUGGUGUGUUAGAUGAGGGAAGUUCUGCUGCUCCGGGACAGUUUGGAAAACCACUGCAUUUCCGAGACAUGUUCUUAAAUGUAGGGGAGACCAGGGAAAGUUGUAACAGGACAGUUGUAACUCAUAUAACAUAUACUUGCAUGCAGUUUUAAUGGCUUUUCAGCUUGGCUAUAGCCCUAACGCUCAUGCAGCUUUUUAUCAAAUGCAAGUAAAAUGUUAUUUUUUGAAUUUCUUUGAAACAUUUAAAUUAGCAUUAUCUGAUAUUUUAUUAAAUUAUUUUACAACAUUAUUUAAAUAUAGCAUUAUUUAUUAUGCCAAAAAUGAUGCUAAUUUAAGUGUUUAAAUUUAAAGUUUACUUGCAUUUGAUAAUAUGAUGUCAUGCAUCACACAAGCUGUUGAAAUGUUAUAUUCAUACACAUUAUACUAUGUUAUUGAUAUUAUAUAAAAUAACAAAAGAAUGCCAUUACAAUUCCCAACCGCUAGAUGGCAAUAUUAGUCCUACUGACGUUUUCAAUCUCUCUGCAUAUAUUAAUUAACGCUAAUAAUUUAUAAUCGUUGCAGAGUAAUAGGCCUCCAAUUGUCUAAAUUUGUUAUAUCUUUUUUUGUUUUGAGGAGUAGAGUUAUUAUACCAGUUUUGAUGGUUGGAGAAAGACAUCCUUCUUGUAUACAUUCGAUAACAAUUAUUUGAUAUCUUCUCAAAAAAAUAAAUUAAGAGUUCAACCCUUCAAUUACACGUGACUUCCCAUUUUUUAUUUUUUUCAGGGCAUUUUCUAUUUCUUGCUAAUGUAUUUUGCCUUUUUUUGUAAUUCUCCCCAAUCCUUUUAAUAUUGUUCUUAAUAAGAGUUAAAAAGGAUUCACAGUCCUCUUUGUGGAAAUGUCAGCUAUACAAGUCAGAGUAAAAGAGUUAAACUUCCUCAUUUAUUUGGCUAGAGUCUUCUAUAAUGUUUUUAUUUGCAGAUUCUUUUUUUGGACUGCCAAAGAUUGCCAUUACAAUUCCCAACCGCUAGAUGGCAAUAUUAGUCUUACUGAGACAUGACAGUUAGAGAGUCAUGUUUUGAGUUUUGUUGAUAGCAGCAGGCAAACAAUAAAGGAAAUUUCUACUUGGUCUUGUAAGUAUCUGUGUUCCCUUUUUGAUAUGUGUUCAUUAUUUAUCUGUAUUAUUUGUUAUCAUGUUUAGAAACCGUGACACUUCAGGUUUUGUUGACAGUGAUCAGUGUCAAGGUCACGGUUCAGCACGCAUGUGUUCAGAGGAAUAACUGUAAAAUUUAAUGAAGUAAAUGUUUGAGCAUUUGUACGUUACGUGUUUACAUCGAAAAUGGGCAAAAAGGCGGGAGCUGGUUGCUGAAGCCACGCCCACCUAGCUCGACUGUGGUGACAGCAGCGGCAAUCCACCUGUCACUAUAGUGGCCACGCCCUUAAUUAUGCAGAACUUUGAGGCUUAAAAUAAUUUAAACGGAUAAGCUAUUUAAAAAAAUUCACCCCUCACAGUUCUCAUGAAGGGCAAAAUCAACUGUAUAGACCAAAAAAAAAAAAAAAAAAAUUAAAUGCUGUAAAUUAUUUUUCUGCUGUAAAGUUGGGCAUUUUGGGCUGCA